UGGUGGCGAGUGGCGCACGGGUGCGUAACGCGUAUGCAAUCUACCUGUAACUGGGGAAUAGCCUUCCGAAAGGAAGAUUAACACCGCAUAAAAUCACGAGACGGCAUCGCCUUGUGAUCAAAUCUCCGGAGGUUACAGAUGAGCAUGCGUGACAUUAGCUAGUUGGUGAGGUAACGGCCCACCAAGGCGACGAUGUCUAGGGGGUCUGAGAGGAUGAUCCCCCACACUGGUACUGAGACACGGACCAGACUCCUACGGGAGGCAGCAGUAAGGAAUAUUGGACAAUGGGCGCAAGCCUGAUCCAGCCAUGCCGCGUGCAGGAUGAAGGUGCUCUGCAUUGUAAACUGCUUUUGUUUGGGAAUAAACCCUUCUACGUGUAGAGGGCUGAAUGUACCAAAAGAAUAAGGGACGGCUAACUUCGUGCCAGCAGCCGCGGUAAUACGAAGGUCCCGAGCGUUAUCCGGAUUUAUUGGGUUUAAAGGGUGCGUAGGCGGGCUAUUAAGUCAGUGGUGAAAGCCUACAGCUUAACUGUAGAAUGGCCAUUGAUACUGAUAGUCUUGAGUAUGAUUGAGGUGGGCGGAAUGUGUCAUGUAGCGGUGAAAUGCUUAGAUAUGACACAGAACACCGAUUGCGAAGGCAGCUCACUAAGCCAUAACUGACGCUGAUGCACGAAAGCGUGGGGAGCAAACAGGAUUAGAUACCCUGGUAGUCC
rnacentral:rRNA from 1 species